UACGUAGGGUGCGAGCGUUGUCCGGGAAUUAUUGGGCGUAAAAGAGCUCGUAGGCGGUCUGUCGCGUCUGCUGUGAAAACCCGAGGCUCAACCUCGGGCCUGCAGUGGGUACGGGCAGACUAGAGUGCGGUAGGGGAGAAUGGAAUUCCUGGUGUAGCGGUGGAAUGCGCAGAUAUCAGGAGGAACACCGAUGGCGAAGGCAGUUCUCUGGGCCGUAACUGACGCUGAGGAGCGAAAGCGUGGGGAGCGAACAGG
rnacentral:rRNA from 1 species